UCCAGACUCCUACGGGAGGCAGCAGUGGGGGAUAUUGGACAAUGGGGGAAACCCUGAUCCAGCGACGCCGCGUGAGUGAAGAAGUAUUUCGGUAUGUAAAGCUCUGUCAGCAGGGAGGAAAGAAAUGACGGUACCUGACCAAGAAGCCCCGGCUAACUACGUGCCAGCAGCCGCGGUAAUACGUAGGAGGCAAGCGUUAUCCGGAAUGACUGGGCGUAAAGGGUGCGUAGGUGGUUUGACAAGUUAGUAGCGCAACUCCGGAGCUUAACUUCGGAACUACUACUAAAACUGUUGGACUUGAGUGCAGGAGGGGCAAUCGGAAUUCCUAGUGUAGCGGUGGAAUGCGUAGAUAUUAGGAGGAACACCAGUGGCGAAGGCGGAUUGCUAGACUGUAACUGACACUGAGGCACGAAAGCGUGGGGAGCAAACAGGAUUAGAUACCCGAGUA
rnacentral:rRNA from 1 species